ACAUCGGAAUCGAGAGACAAUAAAUUUUACAUUGCAUUUUAUUACAUCGGAGUCGAAGUACGACAAAUUUCAAACAGCAACAGAAGGGAUCACUCCGAUCAGAAGAAAAAAAUCAGUGCAAUGUUAAAACCAAGAAGACCAUUUUUUCGAACAAAAAGACGAGUAAUUAUUGCUUUCCUCGCUUGGAAUUUUAUUGGAGCAUUUUAUGUGUGGUUGCCCCAUGUUUGGAAAAUCCAAGCAGAGGAUGCGGCUGGCCAAAAACAAAACAGCACACCAGCAAGUCGGUGAACAUAUAACUCUGUUACAAACGUGAUUCGAGACAGUGCUUAUACGUGUUUUUGACUCAAAAAUACAUGUUCGAUAAACUGUGUGAUAAAUCACCCUUCCGCUUGCUCCAUCGAUCCUAUACUUAAAAAAAAAAGAUAGUCGAUGGAUGAAUGACCUUGACGUCACCAAUGUUUGUAUAACAGAGCAGAUUUGUGAUGUAACAUCUACAUUUGACACUAGAACUUGAAUCCAUUUCAUCAAUUUGAUUUGCAUUAGGCCUAUUUGAUUAUAGUAUCGAAAUACGUCCUCUUAACAUUCUUGUGCCACUGCCUACGUGGUUCAAUUUUUACAAGGAAUAUUGUUUGAAGACAAAAGUGAAAAGAGGAUACUAGUGUGUCAUGUUUACAUAGACAUAAUAAACUUCAAACUGGAUGUAAAGGGUUCCUGGAUUUGGCAGGGUACCUGGAUUUGUCAGAGAAUAUGAUAAACAUUUCCACAUGGUGUUUUUUUGUUUUUUUGAAAAUUAAUCCUAACUGUGAUAUAAUAAUGCAAGAUUGUUAUUUCUAAAAAAAAAUAAUAAAAUAAAGAGAUUCAUAUAUCUUUA